rnacentral:tRNA from 1 species
GGAGAGAUGGCCGAGUUGGCUGAAGGCGCACGCCUGCUAAGCGUGUAAUCGACUAACCUCGAUUCGAGGGUUCGAAUCCCUCUCUCUCCGCCA